rnacentral:rRNA from 1 species
ACUCAAAGGAAUUGACGGGGGCCCGCACAAGCAGCGGAGCGUGUUGCUUAAUUCGAUGCAACGCGAAGAACCUUACCUGGGUUUGACAUGCUCGGAAAAGCCGUAGAGAUACGGUGUCCUUCGGGGCCGAGCACAGGUGGUGCAUGGCUGUCGUCAGCUCGUGUCGUGAGAUGUUGGGUUAAGUCCCGCAACGAGCGCAACCCUUAUUCUAUGUUGCCAGCACGUAAUGGUGGGGACUCGUAGGAGACUGCCGGGGUCAACUCGGAGGAAGGUGGGGACGACGUCAAGUCAUCAUGCCCCUUAUAUCCAGGGCUGCAAACACGCUACAAUGGCCGGUACAAAGGGCUGCAAGCUCGUGAGAGUGAGCGAAUCCCAUAAAGCCGGUCUCAGUUCGGAUUGAAGGCUGCAACUCGCCUUCAUGAAGCUGGAGUUGCUAGUAAUCCCGGAUCAGCACGCCGGGGUGAAUACGUUCCCGGGCCUUGUACACACCGCCCGU